GGUUGAACAUCCAGCAGCACGUGAAACUAGAUCAGCCUUGCGCACAGUUACCACAGUGCACAGGGUCUCUUACGUGGAAAGAUUGGGGAAAUUAUUUCUACACACGUUUGUCAUGGGAUUGCAGGGUCCUUCUUCCUGGGAAUUCAGCUUCUUCAGCCAGUGGAUUCUUGGUCUGAGAUCUGGCCCAAGUCUGGAAAUUGACAAGAGAUUGUGCCUGUUUAUUGAGGCAGGUUUUUAGCCUCGCAGUCACCUAUCCUUGAUUUUUUGUUGUUGUUUAAAUAAAUUAAGCAUCAUUAUUGUUGACUGUUCAUAAACAUGGCCCCUAGAAACAUUAGGCUCUUAAAAAAUGUAUUAGGCUGUUCUUCCAUUGCUAUAAAGAAAUACUUGGGACUGUAUAUUUAUUUUUUAAAAAAGAGGCUAAAAUGGCUUACAGCUCUACAGGGUGUACAGGAAACAUGAUGCUGGUAUUUGUUCAGCUUCUGGGGAGGCUGCAGGAAACUUACAAUCAUGGCAGAAGGUGAAGGGGAAGCAGGCACAUCACAUGGUCAGAGCAGGGGCAAAAGAGUAAAGGUGGCGCUGCACACUUUUAAAUGAUAACAUCUCAGGAGAAUUCACACACUAUUGCGAGGACAGUACCAAGGGGGAUGGUGCAAAACCAUUCAAGAGAAAUCUGUCCCCAUGAUCAAAUCACCCCCUAUCAGGCCCCACUUCCAACACUGAGGAUUGCAUUUCAAUAUGAGACUGUGUGGGAACAUUCCAAACUAUCUCAGAGGUUUAUACUGUUCAGGUUGCUACUGCAACCUUGCUACACGUUACAAUAAUUGCACCCAGCUUGCUAUUGAUGGUGAAGUGCCUAUCAUCUCACUACUAUCAGGAAUCACAGUUAUGUAACAGUAACUCUCCUGUUAGCCUUGGCCUCUAGAGAUUAUCCACCAAAACUUCUCAAUAAUUGUGUUACCCCUCUCACAAUCACAUUGCUUAUUGCUUUGCUACAUAGAUUGUUCCUUAAGCCCUCCUUUGGAACAGAGUUGGCUGGUGGAUUUUCCUGCCCUACAUAGUCUAUCCCUUCUGACAUGCUCCUUUCCAUAAACCUUUUGAUCCCAUCCUUUACCAUCUGCCAUGGCACUCCUGGCAUUUUACUUCACCUAGUGUGGGCCAUCACCUGUUUCAGGAUUUCAAAAAGAGUCAUGCACUCUCCAGAGUUUCUUGCCAGGAUGUUAUUUCCUGUAUCACAAAUAAUUGCUCUCAUUUUGUUAAACUCUUCCUUAUCUAACUUUAUAUUCUACCCUUCACGAUUUAUUAUCCUCAAAUUCCAUUCCCAUGAAUACUUUCCUGGCUCCUUCUUGUACAUACUGUCUUCUGGCGUACAGUUCCUUUUCUCCCAUGGCAGGCCCAGCACUUCCUAGAGAGGAACACAGAUGCGAGGUGUCAGGUGACACUCCUGGCAGCAGGGGGAAUGAGUGCCUUUUUAUUUUUUUAAGUAACAAUU
rnacentral:lncRNA from 1 species